rnacentral:rRNA from 1 species
CUACGGGUCGCUCCAGUGGGGAAUAUUGCACAAUGGGCGCAAGCCUGAUGCAGCCAUGCCGCGUGUAUGAAGAAGGCCUUCGGGUUGUAAAGUACUUUCAGCGGGGAGGAAGGGAGUAAAGUUAAUACCUUUGCUCAUUGACGUUACCCGCAGAAGAAGCACCGGCUAACUCCGUGCCAGCAGCCGCGGUAAUACGGAGGGUGCAAGCGUUAAUCGGAAUUACUGGGCGUAAAGCGCACGCAGGCGGUUUGUUAAGUCAGAUGUGAAAUUCCCGGGCUCAACCUGGGAACUGCAUCUGAUACUGGCAAGCUUGAGUCUCGUAGAGGGGGGUAGAAUUCCAGGUGUAGCGGUGAAAUGCGUAGAGAUCUGGAGGAAUACCGGUGGCGAAGGCGGCCCCCUGGACGAAGACUGACGCUCAGGUGCGGAAGCGUGGGGAGCAAACAGGAUUAGAUACCCCCGUAGUC